rnacentral:lncRNA from 1 species
GGGUGGUGCGCAGGGAGGGCAGUAGUUGCGGGGGCUAAGGCUGUUAGGGUUUCUAAAAUUUUGAUGUUUUUUUUUUUGGGCUGGGGUCUGAAAACUGGUUGUUGGGCCCGUUUAUUAUGUGGGCCCGGGCAAUUUGGGCUUGUACAGUAACAAUAUGUCUUAAUGUGGCCUUUCUUCUUACAAUAGUCACAUACCUUGUCUUGAUUCGUCAACCUCGAACCAAUCAUGCUUCUCGCAACAAAUGUCGAGGGUUUCCAACCUGAACUGUUACCCGAAU